GUCACAACUCAACAAGUCACAACUCAACAAUAAAUAUAUAGAUUCUGGAUAGAACAAUAAAAAAUAAAUAUUCAUACCAUAAAAAAUAACAAAAUAACUUCAUUCAAAUUCACUGUUCAUAUUUUAGCAAAUUCUGAUUCAUAUGAUAUUUGUACUAGUUUUCACCAUUUGUUUAUCCAAAACAAAUUUGUAUUUACUAAAAAUUCAUGUUUUAUAUAGUAAUUAAGACCUGGUUUACUGUGUAAGAAAUAUACCCAAAGUAUGUAUAAGCAUUUAUCUUACCUCCUAUACAUUUCCAGGAAUAUGAUUGGUUAAAAGCGUCCGCGUGCAAACCGUGUAUAUUUGAUAUUAGGUUAGUAGGGAGGCGGGGUUUAUCUCAUACACGGUUAGUAGUGGAGUUACG
rnacentral:lncRNA from 1 species